AGAGUUUGAUCCUGGCUCAGGAUGAACGCUGGCGGCGUGCCUAACACAUGCAAGUUGAGCGAUUUACUUCGGUAAAGAGCGGCGGACGGGUGAGUAACGCGUGGGUAACCUACCCUGUACACACGGAUAACAUACCGAAAGGUAUGCUAAUACGGGAUAAUAUAUUUGAGAGGCAUCUCUUGAAUAUCAAAGGUGAGCCAGUACAGGAUGGACCCGCGUCUGAUUAGCUAGUUGGUAAGGUAACGGCUUACCAAGGCGACGAUCAGUAGCCGACCUGAGAGGGUGAUCGGCCACAUUGGAACUGAGACACGGUCCAAACUCCUACGGGAGGCAGCAGUGGGGAAUAUUGCACAAUGGGCGAAAGCCUGAUGCAGCAACGCCGCGUGAGUGAUGAAGGCCUUCGGGUCGUAAAACUCUGUCCUCAAGGAAGAUAAUGACGGUACUUGAGGAGGAAGCCCCGGCUAACUACGUGCCAGCAGCCGCGGUAAUACGUAGGGGGCUAGCGUUAUCCGGAUUUACUGGGCGUAAAGGGUGCGUAGGCGGUCUUUCAAGUCAGGAGUGAAAGGCUACGGCUCAACCGUAGUAAGCUCUUGAAACUGGGAGACUUGAGUGCAGGAGAGGAGAGUGGAAUUCCUAGUGUAGCGGUGAAAUGCGUAGAUAUUAGGAGGAACACCAGUUGCGAAGGCGGCUCUCUGGACUGUAACUGACGCUGAGGCACGAAAGCGUGGGGAGCAAACAGGAUUAGAUACCCUGGUAGUCCACGCUGUAAACGAUGAGUAC
rnacentral:rRNA from 1 species